GAUGAACGCUAGCGGCAGGCUUAAUACAUGCAAGUCGAACGGCAGCACGGGUAGCAAUAUCUGGUGGCGAGUGGCGCACGGGUGCGUAACGCGUAUGCAAUCUACCUUCAACUGGUGAAUAGCCCGAAGAAAUUCGGAUUAACACACCAUAGUAUAUUAGAGUGGCAUCACUUUAAUAUUAAAACUCCGGUGGUUGAAGAUGAGCAUGCGUGACAUAGCUAGUUGGUGAGGUAAUGGCUCACCAAGGCUACGAUGUCUAGGGGAUCUGAGAGGAUUAA
rnacentral:rRNA from 1 species